GGCUAUGGCCAUGCCACCCUGAACAAGCCUGAUCCCGUCUGAUCUCGGAAGCUAAGAAGGGUCGGGCCUGGUUAGUACUUGGAAUACCAGGUGCUAGGAAUA
rnacentral:rRNA from 1 species